rnacentral:lncRNA from 1 species
GAAGUAUUAUUUUGUUGGUGUAUAAAAAUUGUCGCAUUAUUUCUACUCCGAUGACAACCAUUUUUUAACAAAGGGAGCAUCUAAAGUGCCCCUUACUCAAAAUGUGAAAAACGAUGUUUGGCAAGUAGGAAAAUAUAGUUAAAUGAAAGGAUUUUUGCAACAAAUUAUCAAUGCCACUUUAAUGAAUUUCCUUUCGAAAGUGCAAGUUGGAAGAGGGAGAAUUUAGUGAGAUUUUAG